UACGAAGGGGGCUAGCGUUGUUCGGAAUUACUGGGCGUAAAGGGCGCGUAGGCGGUUCCUCAAGUCAGGCGUGAAAGCCCCGGGCUCAACCUGGGAACCGCGCUUGAGACUGGAGUACUAGAGUUCGGGAGAGGAUGGUGGAAUUCCCAGUGUAGAGGUGAAAUUCGUAGAUAUUGGGAAGAACACCGAUGGCGAAGGCAGCCAUCUGGACCGACACUGACGCUGAGGCGCGAAAGCGUGGGGAGCAAACAGG
rnacentral:rRNA from 1 species